rnacentral:lncRNA from 1 species
GCUCUUACAGUUCUAGAGCAUGAACGUACAAAUCAAGGGAUGAGGGAGCUGAAGCACUGGAUUCUGGGAAAUUUGCUGGAGCUUAACACAAGUCACUAGUCACCUGGGAUUCUCUGAAAGAAGGCUGGUGGUGGAGACUCUUCUUUGCUCCUGGCCCACUGUGUCACUUGAUAUUCUUUCCUUGGCAUCCUGUGGGAUCCAAGACUGGCAGGCAGUGAUGGAUGCUGCUCUCUCUACACGUUCAAUAGAGAACUGUUUGAGUAAAUCACGUGCUCCAUUCCCAUGCCACUCAACAGCAGCUCAAUGUCUUGAAAACAUUUUAUGAUACUUUGAAAUAUCCACGAGGUAAUGUUGAACAAAAAUCAAAUAAUUUAAGAAUAAAUAUAGUUUUAAAAAGCAAAUCA